rnacentral:rRNA from 1 species
UACGGAGGACGCGAGCGUUAUCCGGAUUUAUUGGGUUUAAAGGGUGCGUAGGCGGAUCGUUAAGUCAGUGGUCAAAUUGAGGGGCUCAACCCCUUCCCGCCAUUGAAACUGGCGAUCUUGAGUGGAAGAGAAGUAUGCGGAAUGCGUGGUGUAGCGGUGAAAUGCAUAGAUAUCACGCAGAACCCCGAUUGCGAAGGCAGCAUGCCGGCUUCCGACUGACGCUGAAGCACGAAAGCGUGGGGAUCGAACAGG